rnacentral:rRNA from 1 species
AUAUUACUAAGCGGAGGAAAAGAAAUUAACUAAGAUUGCCUUAGUAAGGGCGACUGAACCGGCAAAGGCUCUAAAUUGGGAUCUGUAGUUCAAAGAACUACCGAAUUGUAGUCAGGUUACCCUAAAUACGAUCGUUGGCCUAAGUACCUAGAAAAGUACACCAAAGAGGGUGAAAGUCCCGUACGGCCUUCGGUCGAGUAAGGGGAAUCAACCAAGAGUCGGGUUGCUUGGAACUGCAGCCUAAGCGGGAGAUAUGGCUCUUCCAAAGCUAAAUAAGGAUGGGAGACCGAUAGCGCACAAGUA